UGAGGAAUAUUGGUCAAUGGGCGAAAGCCUGAACCAGCCAAGUAGCGUGCAGGAUGACGGCCCUAUGGGUUGUAAACUGCUUUUAGGCGGGGGUAAAGGGGCGGACGUGUUCCGCCUUUGCAAGUACCGCCAGAAAAAGGACCGGCUAAUUCCGUGCCAGCAGCCGCGGUAAUACGGAGGGUCCAGGCGUUAUCCGGAUUUAUUGGGUUUAAAGGGAGCGUAGGCCGCCCCUUAAGCGUGUUGUGAAAUGCCGCGGCUCAACCGUGGCACUGCAGCGCGAACUGGGGGGCUUGAGUGCACGCAACGCAGGCGGAAUUCGUGGUGUAGCGGUGAAAUGCUUAGAUAUCACGAAGAACUCCGAUUGCGAAGGCAGCUUGCGGGAGUGCGACUGACGCUGAAGCUCGAAGGUGCGGGUAUCGAACAGGAUUAGAUACCCUGGUAGU
rnacentral:rRNA from 1 species